GGUGGUCCCACCUGACCCCAUGCCGAACUCAGAAGUGAAACGCCGUAGCGCCGAUGGUAGUGUGGGGCUUCCCCAUGCGAGAGUAGGGAACUGCCAGGC
rnacentral:rRNA from 1 species